rnacentral:rRNA from 1 species
GGGACACGUGGUAUCCUGUCUGAAUAUGGGGGGACCAUCCUCCAAGGCUAAAUACUCCUGACUGACCGAUAGUGAACCAGUACCGUGAGGGAAAGGCGAAAAGAACCCCGGCGAGGGGAGUGAAAAAGAACCUGAAACCGUGUACGUACAAGCAGUGGGAGCACGCUUAGGCGUGUGACUGCGUACCUUUUGUAUAAUGGGUCAGCGACUUAUAUUCUGUAGCAAGGUUAACCGAAUAGGGGAGCCGAAGGGAAACCGAGUCUUAACUGGGCGUUAAGUUGCAGGGUAUAGACCCGAAACCCGGUGAUCUAGCCAUGGGCAGGUUGAAGGUUGGGUAACACUAACUGGAGGACCGAACCGACUAAUGUUGAAAAAU